GUGCCUCAGCAGCACAAACAUUAAAACUGGAACAAUACAGAAGAUUAGCACGGCCCCUGAACAAAGAUGACACGCAAAUUUGUGAAGUGUUCCCUAUUUUU
rnacentral:snRNA from 1 species